rnacentral:rRNA from 1 species
UACGGAGGGGGCUAGCGUUGUUCGGAAUUACUGGGCGUAAAGCGCACGUAGGCGGCUUUUUAAGUCAGGGGUGAAAUCCCGAGGCUCAACCUCGGAACUGCCUUUGAUACUGGAGAUCUUGAGUCCGGAAGAGGUAAGUGGAACUGCGAGUGUAGAGGUGAAAUUCGUAGAUAUUCGCAAGAACACCAGUGGCGAAGGCGGCUUACUGGUCCGGAACUGACGCUGAGGUGCGAAAGCGUGGGGAGCAAACAGG